rnacentral:rRNA from 1 species
GUGGAUUAGAUACCCUGGUAGUCCACGCCGUAAACGAUGGGUACUAGGCGUCGGGGGGAGCGACCCCCUCGGUGCCGUCGCUAACGCAGUAAGUACCCCGCCUGGGGAGUACGGUCGCAAGACUGAAACUCAAAGGAAUUGACGGGGGCCCGCACAAGCGGUGGAGCAUGUGGUUUAAUUCGAAGCAACGCGAAGAACCUUACCUGGGCUUGACAUGCUGGUGAAAGCCGGUGGAAACAUCGGCCCCUCUUCGGAGCACCAGCACAGGUGCUGCACGGCUGUCGCCAACU